rnacentral:rRNA from 1 species
UACGUAGGGUGCGAGCGUUGUCCGGAAUUACUGGGCGUAAAGAGCUCGUAGGUGGUUUGUCACGUCAGGAGUGAAAACUCGGGGCUCAACCCCGAGCCUGCUUCUGAUACGGGCAGACUAGAGGUAUGCAGGGGAGAACGGAAUUCCUGGUGUAGCGGUGAAAUGCGCAGAUAUCAGGAGGAACACCGGUGGCGAAGGCGGUUCUCUGGGCAUUACCUGACGCUGAGGAGCGAAAGUGUGGGGAGCGAACAGG